GGGAAGUGAUGGAGGAGUUUUCAGCAGCCAUGUCAAAUCUAUCAAAAGUGCUUGCUGAGGUUCUAAUCAAUGAUCUCAGCAACCAAGAGGAAGCUCUAGAAGACAUUUGUGAGUCAAGCUCGUGCUUUCUUCGCUUGAAUCGCUACCCGGCUUGUCCAUUUUCACCAGAGAUGAUUGGUCUAGUGCCUCACACUGACAGUGAUUUCCUCACCAUUCUUUGCCAAGAUCAAGUAGGAGGACUUCAACUCAUGAAAGACUCCAAAUGGGUUGCUGUAAAACCAAAUCCAGACGCACUUAUCGUCAACAUUGGAGAUCUUUUUCAGGUAUAGUAAUCAUAAACACUAAAUUAAUACUCAGAUUCAUGGUCCGGCAACAUGAUCAUCUUGUUAUCUCCGAUAUUACUAUACAUAUAAGCACAACAUUGUGUCGUGAGCAGCAUGUGGCAUGCCUGGUGUGCAGUUAUCAGUUGGUUCAGCAUUAGAUCCUUAUUUAUUGGAGACAUUAACAUGCAGGCAUGUCAAUUCACACAUGUUUUGUAUUUGACCUUUGUGAUUAGUUAAAUAAUUCCUCUAGUUAAUUAUAUAUAUGCAGGCAUGGAGCAACGAUGUGUAUAAGAGUGUGGAACACAAGGUCCUGGCCAACGAGAAGACGGAACGAUAUUCCAUUGCAUACUUCCUGUGCCCAUCUUAUGAUUCUUUAAUAGGAAGCAGCAGCA
rnacentral:lncRNA from 1 species